GUCAUCAAGCUCAUGCAGAGCUUCAAGUCCAAGGAGUACGUCAGGGAGACCUUCUCGUGGCAGCACUACUACUGGUACCUGACCAAUGACGGCAUCGAGUUCCUGCGCACCUUCCUCAACCUGCCAUCUGAGAUUGUGCCCAACACCCUCAAGAAGUCUGCUAAGCCCCCAUCCCGCCCCUUUGGCUCUGGCCCGCCGGGUGAUCGCCCCAGGUGAGCCUUUUUUAUCUUUCUGUUUGUUUCGAGUAUGUUGCUAUCUGUUGCUGUGUGAAUGAACCUCUUCAUCUAGCUAUUUAUUUACUUAUUGCUGUAUAGAUUUCAAUGACCGUUGGUUCUACUCCAGCAUUCUGUUAGCCAAAUUCAAAUUCAAAUUAUGCGAUCAACUGUGUUCUAUUUAUUGCAAUCCCCCACUUGCAAACUUGCUAUGAUGGCCUGUACCAAUUCUCUGCCACCACCUUCUAUCCAAUUUUGUAAUGGGCGUGUAGUUUCUUUUUUGAGAACCAAACCUUUGAGUUACUUCUGCAUUAUUUAUGUAUCCAUGAAUCGUACCAUUUCACUUUUCAUUUCUUCUAGAAUGCUGUGUAGUUAAAACUGGCUGUAGUUUUCUGGCACAUGAAGUUAACAAUGGGAGGCUGAGAUGCAAUUGCCCAAUGAUAUCCAAUUUGUCCGUUCCUGUUUCAGCCAUAUUUUCUUGUGGCUCUGUAUGCACCAAAGAACUGGUAUAUUUGCCGUCACUUACUUUUGUCGUAUAUUUGGCAGGGGCCCACCUCGUUUCGAGGGUGACAGGCCGAGGUUCGCUGAUAGGGAUGGUUACAGGGGAGGCCCACGUGGUGCUCCUGGUGAUUUUGCUGGCGAGAAGGGUGGAGCUCCUGCUGAGUUCCAGCCAUCUUUCAGGGUAAGAGCUCCAAAGAUUGUCCGUACAUUCCACAUCACUGUUCAUACAUUUCAUAAGAUUGCUUAGUGUGCUUGUGUAUUAGUUGUGUUGGUGCCUUUAGUUUUCUUGCAGAGUCCAUUCAAGAAAUCAUUAGGUUUUUAAAUCGGAACAUUUUGAAAAGUUUGUCAAACUAUACUUCCCAUCCGCACAUUGUAUAUUGAGCUGUUUCUUCUGUAACAUUGCUGUGCUACCUUAUUGAUCUGCGAUGCAGCGUAUCAUUUGCACAUUUUGAAAUGUUGCUUCUCCCAGGAGUCUCAUUUUUGUGGUUUGUUGAUAAGCAAUUGAAUUUGUAUUCGUUACAACCUUGUAGCGUAUUUUUACUGUUGAGUUCAAGUCACUUGCUAUGUCACGUUUCUACUUUAGCCUCUUGUGACAAAUAAUGCGGUCAAUUGGUAACCUUUCUUGGAGCUAAUUCGUUGCCAUGUUUUGUUAUGGUUGUUCAGGGUGGUAGCAGACCUGCCUUUGGCCGUGGAGGUGGAGGUGGCAGCGGUGCAUUCGGUGCUGGGGCAUCCUCCAUGGAGUGAAGAAGGGAUACAUGGGCUAGCGGCGGCGCUGAUUUAUACCUAAUAGCUUUCC
rnacentral:lncRNA from 1 species